GUAGUUUUGUCAUAAAUCAUAAAAAUACAAUAAAUACAAUAUAUUUAGUUAUGUUUCUGUGGUGGCGAACAUAUUCGUGAAAAUAUUCAACCCCCCCUGUCAUGUGUCCACGAGAAGUUUUCGCGAAGAUUGCGCGUGACUUUCAAAUGAUUUGUUUUUUUAUUUUGAACCUAAAUGGUAUACGGGAGGAUUUUUCCUUCCUAAUGGGACAAAUGUUGCCAAUUUUUGGAUUGGGACUAUUCUACAAUGAAGUGCUCUUGGAUACUGUAAUCUAAAUACAUAUGGAAACGAAGAAGUUGCAUUUAUCAGACAG